CCUACGGGAGGCUGCAGUGAGGAAUAUUGGUCAAUGGACGAGAGUCUGAACCAGCCAAGUAGCGUGAAGGAUGACUGCCCUAUGGGUUGUAAACUUCUUUUAUAUGGGAAUAAAAUGUUCCACGUGUGGGAUUUUGUAUGUACCAUAUGAAUAAGGAUCGGCUAACUCCGUGCCAGCAGCCGCGGUAAUACGGAGGAUACGAGCGUUAUCCGGAUUUAUUGGGUUUAAAGGGAGCGUAGGGGGAUUGUUAAGUCAGUUGUGAAAGUCUGCGGCUCAACCGUAAAAGUGCAGUUGAAACUGGCAGUCUUGAGUACAGUAGAGGUGGGCGGAAUUCGGGGUGUAGCGGUGAAAUGCUUAGAUAUAACGAAGAACUCCGAUUGCGAAGGCAGCUCACUGGACUGCAACUGACACUGAGGCUCGAAAGUGUGGGUAGCAAACAGGAUUAGAUACCCGAGUAGUC
rnacentral:rRNA from 1 species